UUCUUCGGGGUUGGGUGAAAUUCCCUACUGGCGGUAAGCAGUUUUUUGCAAGUCCGCGACCCGCGUAUGGCCAAGGAGGCCAUGCUGCGGCUGAUUCGGUGCAAAUCCGAGACCAACAGUAAAGUCUGGAUGAAAGAAGAA
rnacentral:ncRNA from 1 species